AUUGAACGCUGGCGGCAGGCCUAACACAUGCAAGUCGAGCGGUAGCACAAGAGAGCUUGCUCUCUGGGUGACGAGCGGCGGACGGGUGAGUAAUGUCUGGGAAACUGCCUGAUGGAGGGGGAUAACUACUGGAAACGGUAGCUAAUACCGCAUAACGUCGCAAGACCAAAGUGGGGGACCUUCGGGCCUCAUGCCAUCAGAUGUGCCCAGAUGGGAUUAGCUAGUAGGUGGGGUAACGGCUCACCUAGGCGACGAUCCCUAGCUGGUCUGAGAGGAUGACCAGCCACACUGGAACUGAGACACGGUCCAGACUCCUACGGGAGGCAGCAGUGGGGAAUAUUGCACAAUGGGCGCAAGCCUGAUGCAGCCAUGCCGCGUGUGUGAAGAAGGCCUUCGGGUUGUAAAGCACUUUCAGCGGGGAGGAAGGCGUUAAGGUUAAUAACCUUGGCGAUUGACGUUACCCGCAGAAGAAGCACCGGCUAACUCCGUGCCAGCAGCCGCGGUAAUACGGAGGGUGCAAGCGUUAAUCGGAAUUACUGGGCGUAAAGCGCACGCAGGCGGUCUGUCAAGUCGGAUGUGAAAUCCCCGGGCUCAACCUGGGAACUGCAUUCGAAACUGGCAGGCUAGAGUCUUGUAGAGGGGGGUAGAAUUCCAGGUGUAGCGGUGAAAUGCGUAGAGAUCUGGAGGAAUACCGGUGGCGAAGGCGGCCCCCUGGACAAAGACUGACGCUCAGGUGCGAAAGCGUGGGGAGCAAACAGGGAUUAGAUACCCUGGUAGUCCACGCCGUAAACGAUGUCGAUUUGGAGGUUGUGCCCUUGAGGCGUGGCUUCCGGAGCUAACGCGUUAAAUCGACCGCCUGGGGAGUACGGCCGCAAGGUUAAAACUCAAAUGAAUUGACGGGGGCCCGCACAAGCGGUGGAGCAUGUGGUUUAAUUCGAUGCAACGCGAAGAACCUUACCUGGUCUUGACAUCCACAGAACUUUCCAGAGAUGGAUUGGUGCCUUCGGGAACUGUGAGACAGGUGCUGCAUGGCUGUCGUCAGCUCGUGUUGUGAAAUGUUGGGUUAAGUCCCGCAACGAGCGCAACCCUUAUCCUUUGUUGCCAGCGGUUCGGCCGGGAACUCAAAGGAGACUGCCAGUGAUAAACUGGAGGAAGGUGGGGAUGACGUCAAGUCAUCAUGGCCCUUACGACCAGGGCUACACACGUGCUACAAUGGCAUAUACAAAGAGAAGCGACCUCGCGAGAGCAAGCGGACCUCAUAAAGUAUGUCGUAGUCCGGAUUGGAGUCUGCAACUCGACUCCAUGAAGUCGGAAUCGCUAGUAAUCGUAGAUCAGAAUGCUACGGUGAAUACGUUCCCGGGCCUUGUACACACCGCCCGUCACACCAUGGGAGUGGGUUGCAAAAGAAGUAGGUAGCUUAACCUUCGGGAGGGCGCUUACCAC
rnacentral:rRNA from 1 species